UAUUAAUGUUUAAUUUACAUAACUGCAUAACUACAGUCAAUGAAUUGUUAAGGUAAGUUUAGUUGUAAGCAUACCUCAUGUCAGUAAGAUCAGUAAAUAUAUUUACAAUUGUUAAAAAAAUAUUUGCUGACGUGAACAUUUCUUACAUUCUUUUACAGAUAUUUCACCCACCAUUCAAGCUAAUGCAAGAUAAAAAAUGAUUUCAGAAGAAUCACCACAAUUUCCUUGGAGCGUACAUUCUUGUAAAAGCUGGACUUCUAUACCCCAAAACUCCUGGCUUUGUUUGAGAUGAGGGGUGGGGUUGCUGGCAUAAGAAUUAAACAUUUGCUGGAUUCACUGAGCUAGCAAGAAGAUAGCCUUGAAGAUAGGUGAGAAGUUGUGAUUCGCUGCCUCCUAUCUUUCCUGGGAGAAUCAGCUAAGGAGCUCAUUGAAGACCACCAGGAUAUCAGCAGAGACGUGAUUAAGGAUACCUUAUUCAGUCAUGUCUUUAAAAUCAUCGUACUGAGCAGAUCUGUGGAAGAAGAUGCCGGUAUGUCUGAUGUCAUCAUUGUCAUUGAGGGAACUGAGGUGCUGCUGGGAUGUAAGAAUCUCACAAAUGCAUGUCUUUCACUCACAGGCUGCAUUUACUCCCUAAACUUAAGCUGUCCCCCAAAGCUGAGAAAAACAUUUGGAGUGUUUCAGAAAAAUUUUCUUGGGUUAGAUGCUUUUUAAAUUUUCUCCAAAGGUUAACUCUGCAUAGAAAGCUUCUAAUGUAAUCUGCUAGUUGGGCACU